ACUCUACGGGAGGCAGCAGUAAGGAAUAUUGGUCAAUGGACGCAAGUCUGAACCAGCCAUGCCGCGUGAAGGAUGAAGGUCCUCUGGAUUGUAAACUUCUUUUAUAUGGGACGAAACCCGGGAAUUCUUUCCCGAUUGACGGUACCAUAAGAAUAAGCACCGGCUAACUCCGUGCCAGCAGCCGCGGUAAUACGGAGGGUGCAAGCGUUAUCCGGAUUCACUGGGUUUAAAGGGUGCGUAGGAGGGUAGGUAAGUCAGUGGUGAAAUCUUCGAGCUUAACUCGGAAACUGCCGUUGAUACUAUCUAUCUUGAAUACCGUGGAGGUGAGCGGAAUAUGUCAUGUAGCGGUGAAAUGCUUAGAUAUGACAUAGAACACCAAUUGCGAAGGCAGCUCGCUACACGAAUAUUGACUCUGAGGCACGAAAGCGUGGGGAUCAAACAGGAUUAGAUACCCUGGUAGUCCACGCCCUAAACGAUGGAUACUCGACAUACGCGAUACACAGUGUGUGUCUGAGCGAAAGCAUUAAGUAUCCCACCUGGGAAGUACGACCGCAAGGUUGAAACUCAAAGGAAUUGACG
rnacentral:rRNA from 1 species